CAAGAGCGCAUGUAAAAGUUGUUGCAGUUAAAAAGCUCGUAGUUGAACCUUGGGUUUGGUUGGCCGGUCCGCUUUUUUGCGAGUACUGGAUUCAACCGAGCCUUUCCUUCUGGCUAACCAGUCGUUUCGGCGGCUGGCGAACCAGGAUUUUUACUUUGAGAAAAUUAGAGUGUUCAAAGCAGGCAUUAGCUUGAAUAUAUUAGCAUGGAAUAAUAGAAUAGGACGUUAUGGUUCUAUUUUGUUGGUUUCUAGGACCAUCGUAAUGAUUAAUAGGGACGGUCGGGGGCAUCAGUAUUCAGUUGUCAGAGGUGAAAUUCUUGGAUUUACUGAAGACUAACUACUGCGAAAGCAUUUGCCAAGGACGUUUUCAUUAA
rnacentral:rRNA from 1 species